UACGUAGGGGGCAAGCGUUGUCCGGAAUCAUUGGGCGUAAAGAGCGUGUAGGCGGCCCGGUAAGUCCGCUGUGAAAGCCCAGGGCUCAACCCCGGGAGGCGGGUGGAUACUGCUGAGCUCGAGUCCGGAAGAGGAGUGUGGAAUUCCUGGUGUAGCGGUGAAAUGCGCAGAUAUCAGGAGGAACACCAAUGGCGAAGGCAGCACUCUGGGACGGUACUGACGCUGAGACGCGAAAGCGUGGGGAGCAAACAGG
rnacentral:rRNA from 1 species